AUUGAACGCUGGCGGCAUGCCUUACACAUGCAAGUCGAACGGUAACGCGGGGCAACCUGGCGACAAGUGGCGAACGGGUGAGUAAUGCAUCGGAACGUGCCCAGUAGUGGGGGAUAGCCCGGCGAAAGCCGGAUUAAUACCGCAUACGACCUACGGGUGAAAGCGGGGGAUCGCAAGACCUCGCGCUAUUGGAGCGGCAGAUGUCAGAUUAGGUAGUUGGUGGGGUAAAGGCCUACCAAGCCUGCGAUCUGUAGCUGGUCUGAGAGGACGACCAGCCACACUGGGACUGAGACACGGCCCAGACUCCUACGGGAGGCAGCAGUGGGGAAUUUUGGACAAUGGGGGCAACCCUGAUCCAGCCAUGCCGCGUGAGUGAAGAAGGCCUUCGGGUUGUAAAGCUCUUUUGGUCGGGAAGAAAGUGUCCUGCUUAACAAGUGGGAUAUUUGACGGUACCGGCAGAAUAAGCACCGGCUAACUACGUGCCAGCAGCCGCCGUAAGAC
rnacentral:rRNA from 1 species